rnacentral:rRNA from 1 species
GACGAACGCUGGCGGCGUGCUUAACACAUGCAAGUCGAACGAUGAUGCCCAGCUUGCUGGGUGGAUUAGUGGCGAACGGGUGAGUAACACGUGAGUAACCUGCCCCUGACUCUGGGAUAAGCGUUGGAAACGACGUCUAAUACUGGAUAUGAUCACUGGCCGCAUGAUCUGGUGGUGGAAAGAUUUUUUGGUUGGGGAUGGACUCGCGGCCUAUCAGCUUGUUGGUGAGGUAAUGGCUCACCAAGGCGACGACGGGUAGCCGGCCUAAGAGGGUGACCGGCCACACUGGGACUGAGACACGGCCCAGACUCCUACGGGAGGCAGCAGUGGGGAAUAUUGCACAAUGGGCGAAAGCCUGAUGCAGCAACGCCGCGUGAGGGAUGACGGCCUUCGGGUUGUAAACCUCUUUUAGUAGGGAAGAAGCGAAAGUGACGGUACCUGCAGAAAAAGCACCGGCUAACUACGUGCCAGCAGCCGCGGUAAUACGUAGGGUGCAAGCGUUGUCCGGAAUUAUUGGGCGUAAAGAGCUCGUAGGCGGUUUGUCGCGUCUGCUGUGAAAUCCCGAGGCUCAACCUCGGGCUUGCAGUGGGUACGGGCAGACUAGAGUGCGGUAGGGGAGAUUGGAAUUCCUGGUGUAGCGGUGGAAUGCGCAGAUAUCAGGAGGAACACCGAUGGCGAAGGCAGAUCUCUGGGCCGUAACUGACGCUGAGGAGCGAAAGCAUGGGGAGCGAACAGGAUUAGAUACCCUGGUAGUCCAUGCCGUAAACGUUGGGCGCUAGAUGUAGGGACCUUUCCACGGUUUCUGUGUCGUAGCUAACGCAUUAAGCGCCCCGCCUGGGGAGUACGGCCGCAAGGCUAAAACUCAAAGGAAUUGACGGGGGCCCGCACAAGCGGCGGAGCAUGCGGAUUAAUUCGAUGCAACGCGAAGAACCUUACCAAGGCUUGACAUACACCGGAAACGGCCAGAGAUGGUCGCCCCCUUGUGGUCGGUGUACAGGUGGUGCAUGGUUGUCGUCAGCUCGUGUCGUGAGAUGUUGGGUUAAGUCCCGCAACGAGCGCAACCCUCGUUCUAUGUUGCCAGCGGGUUAUGCCGGGGACUCAUAGGAGACUGCCGGGGUCAACUCGGAGGAAGGUGGGGAUGACGUCAAAUCAUCAUGCCCCUUAUGUCUUGGGCUUCACGCAUGCUACAAUGGCCGGUACAAAGGGCUGCGAUACCGUAAGGUGGAGCGAAUCCCAAAAAGCCGGUCUCAGUUCGGAUUGAGGUCUGCAACUCGACCUCAUGAAGUCGGAGUCGCUAGUAAUCGCAGAUCAGCAACGCUGCGGUGAAUACGUUCCCGGGCCUUGUACACACCGCCCGUCAAGUCAUGAAAGUCGGUAACACCCGAAGCCGGUGGCCUAACCCUUGUGGAAGGAGCCGUCGAAGGUGGGAUCGGUGAUUAGG